rnacentral:rRNA from 1 species
UACGUAGGGGGCAAGCGUUGUCCGGAUUUAUUGGGCGUAAAGAGCGUGUAGGCGGCUUUACAGGUCCGUUGUGAAAACUCGAGGCUCAACCUCGAGACGCCGGUGGAAACCGUAAGGCUAGAGUCCGGAAGAGGAGAGUGGAAUUCCUGGUGUAGCGGUGAAAUGCGCAGAGAUCGGGAGGAACACCAGUGGCGAAGGCGGCCGGCUGGGGGUGACCUGACGCUGAGGCGGCGAAAGCGUGGGAGCAACGGG